rnacentral:rRNA from 1 species
UACGUAGGUCACGAGCGUUGUCCGGAUUUACUGGGCGUAAAGGGAGUGUAGGCGGUCUUGUAAGUCUGCUGUGAAAGCCCACGGCUCAACCGGGGAAGGUCAUUGGAAACUGGAAGGCUAGAGUGCGGAAGAGGAGAGCGGAAUUCCAUGUGUAGCGGUGAAAUGCGUAGAUAUGUGGAGGAACACCAGUGGCGAAGGCGGCUCUCUGGUCCGUAACUGACGCUGAGGCUCGAAAGCGUGGGGAGCAAACAGG